UACGGAGGGAGCUAGCGUUGUUCGGAAUUACUGGGCGUAAAGCGCGUGUAGGCGGUUAUGCAAGUCGGGUGUGAAAGCCCGGAGCUCAACUCCGGAAGUGCAUUCGAUACUGCGUAGCUAGAGUACUGGAGAGGAUGGUGGAACUCUCGGUGUAGAGGUGAAAUUCGUAGAUAUCGAGAAGAACACCGGUGGCGAAGGCGGCCAUCUGGACAGAUACUGACGCUGAGACGCGAAAGCGUGGGGAGCAAACAGG
rnacentral:rRNA from 1 species